GAUGAACGCUGGCGGCGUGCCUAAUACAUGCAAGUCGAGCGAACAGACGAGGAGCUUGCUCCUCUGACGUUAGCGGCGGACGGGUGAGUAACACGUGGAUAACCUACCUAUAAGACUGGGAUAACUUCGGGAAACCGGAGCUAAUACCGGAUAAUAUAUUGAACCGCAUGGUUCAAUAGUGAAAGACGGUUUUGCUGUCACUUAUAGAUGGAUCCGCGCCGCAUUAGCUAGUUGGUAAGGUAACGGCUUACCAAGGGGACGAUGCGUAGCCGACCUGAGAGGGUGAUCGGCCACACGGGAACUGAGACACGGUCCAGACUCCUACGGGAGGCAGCAGUAGGGAAUCUUCCGCAAUGGGCGAAAGCCUGACGGAGCAACGCCGCGUGAGUGAUGAAGGUCUUCGGAUCGUAAAACUCUGUUAUUAGGGAAGAACAAAUGUGUAAGUAACUAUGCACGUCUUGACGGUACCUAAUCAGAAAGCCACGGCUAACUACGUG
rnacentral:rRNA from 1 species